UUACGGCCAUAUCACGUUGAAACACCAGUUCUCAUACGAUCACCGAAGUUAAGAAACGUCGAGAUUGGUCAGUACUUAGAUGGGUGACCGUUUGGGAAUAGAAGGGGCUGUAAG